GAGCGCGACUCUUCGGAUGUUAGCGGCGGACGGGUGAGUACACGUGGGCAAUCUGCCUGACAGACUGGAAUAACGCCUGGAAACGGGUGCUAAUGCCAGAUAGCGCAGCGGGUAGGCAUCUACCAGCUGGGAAAGGUGCUACGGCACUACUGUCAGAGGAGCCCGCGGCGCAUUAGCUAGUUGGUGAGGUAACGGCCCACCAAGGCGACGAUGCGUAGCCGACCUGAGAGGGUGACCGGCCACACUGGGACUGAGACACGGCCCAGACUCCUACGGGAGGCAGCAGUAGGGAAUCUUCCGCAAUGGGCGAAAGCCUGACGGAGCAACGCCACGUGAGCGAAGAAGGCCUUCGGGUUGUAAAGCUCAGUCACCCGGGAAGAGCGAAUCGGAGAGGGAAUGCUCCGAUUGAGACGGUACCGGGAGAGGAAGCCCCGGCUAACUACGUGCCAGCAGCCGCGGUAAU
rnacentral:rRNA from 1 species